GUUGAAGGUGUGUGUGGUGUAUUUAAAUUAGGGGUUUGCAGGAUGAAGUGCCUCUGCAGAGGAAUUGUAUGGCUGUGGGAAGUGGAGCUGCUUGGGAGCCUGGAUGAACAUGAAAAUAACCUCCUGCAGGACUGUUCCUCUGGCAGAUCCAACACUUCUCCUUGUCCAGCCAGCCCUCCACCACCUCCCAGCUGGGGGCUGAGCGUUUCCAGGAGUUCUGGUGCUAAUUUGUACUGAUUGCAGCUCAUCAGACUUGCAUCUUCUCUGCCACGGUGUUUCUCAUGCUUUCUGAUUUCCUGAAGGAAAUUGUAUUGACAGCUCUCAAUGAAUCCCACAGUACAAGGAGGUGCAUGUGGUGCCAAAUCCUUGCAGAAUGCUGAGACCCAACAACGCCUCAUGGUUUUAGACUCAAGCAAAUGUUUCAUUAUAUUAAUCCAACAAUGGCAAAGCAGUAUAAGGCUUAUGAUAGUCCUUUUUUUUUUUCCCAAAAUAAAAACACUAUCAAAAAUAAACAAUCUAUCUUCUUAUCAUAGGCUCUUCAGUAGGUGGCAAAAACUGUCCUUCAGAUAAGACUGAAGUCCUCUUCCUCAAGUGGUUUUCUAUUUUUUUUUAAUCAAACUUUCCUUUUGGGAAUGAUCUAUAAACUCCAUCAGUACUUAUGUAAAAAGAUGUCCAUAAUUCAAAGUGAAGAAAUGAAAUAUUUAGGCAAGAUUAAUCCUGAAAACAUCACUGCUUUAGCUGCAUAGUCAUUCAUCUUAUGACAUGGACGUAUUUGCUUGGCUACAAACUUUUCCUUUGAAAAAAAUCUAGUUCCAUUGCAGCUUAAAAUAUUAAAGAGGGGAGAAAGGACAAGUUUUGGAAAGGAACAAUACGGGAAUAGAAGCUGAUGGCAUUUAAACUGAAGGUGAAAUGCCAUAUGUCUGGCACAGGAGCACGAAUUAUUAAAGCUGUGGUGUUUUGAAGGUGGUCCCUGACCAUAUGUACCUACUCAGUGCAGCUCUACAGGUUGCUGUCUGAGAUAUCCCUGCAGAGGCUGCAGGAUGGAGUCGUUGUGUUGUUUUUCUCAGCCUGGGGAAGAUGCUCCCGUGGUCUUUUUUCAUCCUGGGAUGGGUUAAAAGUUGUAAGAACUACCUGAAGGGCAUCUUUGGAGCAAAGAAAUUACUGAGGUCUCCAGGGUAGCCUUUGGUGCCUGGUGGGUCCUUCCAUGGGCACUAAAUCCCUGUGUUCCCCUGUCAUCUUGGGAUAGGGCCACUGCAGAGUUCCCACAGAUCCCAUCCACACCUCCAGUGCAUCUCGUGUGCCCAGCUCUGUAAAACAGAAUUGAAUCUCCAGUGUCCUGAGGCUGGGAGGAUUUUUGCAUACUUGUUUAUAGCAUUUCCUGAACUAAAGCCUGAUUGCUGUUGUGGCAACCUUGAACUUUUGCAGUUUCUCAUCUUCCAGCUAAAAUGAUUCGGUCUGGCAGGAGUCUGAUGAGGCUCUGAGCUGCUUAUGAAUGCAUAGCUUGUACCAAUAAGGUAAAUUAAUAAUUCCUCAAAACCCUGCAACAGUUUAGUCAGCUGCUCAUUUUCUUCUUUUUAAAGUUGAAACAGUCUUAGAAGGCACUGUGGAAAUUUUACCCUGCCUGUCUUGGGGGGCCUGGUGCACAGACUGAGCUUGAGCAUUGAGUGGGGUGGGUGGCUGGCAGGAAUCCCUGCUCCUGCAAGUGCAAGGUCCUGUGGAACCUGCUGGGAAAUGGAGAUGGAGUAGGAAGUUUUCACUGAGUGACUUUGUGUGAGAUCAAAAUCCACCCAGAUCUCAGGCAGGUGGAGCCACACAGACCUUCCAGAACUUGCUGAGUUCCCACUUUGGGACAAUCAACUCAAAACAGGGCUUCAAAUGAGUACAGGGGCAAGGGGCUAAUGUGGAACAGCUGGCACAUCGAGAUCAGGCGACUGUGCCAUAAAUCUCUAGCCCAGAAGAUGCACAAAAUACCUGUCACAGAUCCCUGUAGACAUGAGGACUAAAGUACAGCAUGUUUUGCAGGCUAUGCAAGCUCCAGCACUAUCUGCUCUGUCUCCUGGGGUCAGAUGUGGCAACUGCUUGGGACACAGCCCUGCCUUUUUACAAAUGAUUUGGGACUGGCCUGAGGAAGCUGCCCAAAUCCUGAGGAUGCCUUAAACACCUUUCAGAACGAGGGGAUGGACCACGGCUUUGAGAAAGGAAAGCUGCUCUCUGGUCCUCUUGAUGGGCAAGAGCCACAGAAGCUCUGAACAAUGCUUGUGGGGGGAUGCAGUGCUGGAGGCCAGCUGAGAACUCCCAUCCUUGCUUGGCAGAAUUUUUGCCCUCUUUUGAGAGCAAAGCAGUUGUACAGAACAUGAAAGCAAGUGAGCUCUGAGAUGCUACACUCAUCUCUGAUUUAUCCUUAGAGAAGAGCAUCCUGAUGUCAUUCCCACAGGGGAAGCAGCUGAAGCCAGAUUCUGUAUUUACAGCUUGUGGUGCUCUUCAGCCUGACCUCUGCUCUGUGACAAAACCUCUUCGUGGUGCUGGAGUGGAGAUAAAUUAAAGGUCUGAGAGUUUUAUUAGACUAAGUAUGAAUGAUAAAAUUGCACUGGCAUCCCUGCAGUGCUAUAAUUUAACAUAAGAUUCAAUUAGUUUUAUCCUGCCCCUAAAUUUUUAAUUUUUCAGUAUGUGAAACUUGCUUUUCCCCCAUCUCUCUUCUGAAAAACUUGCAAAUGCUUGCUGGAAAUAUUCAGUGAUGAGGAGAUUGAAAAGCACGAACAGCUUUGGAGAUGCUACUGGGGCUGUUGGUAUCCACACAAAUUGCUUUGUGGGGUCAGGGAAGUGGCUGAAAGUUUUUAACUCAGUGUCUUGGCUCAAGGAAGGACCCUGGUCCCGUUCAGAGAGCUUGCAGGUGGGAUCCUUUUUGUAAGGGAGGCUUAUUUCUUCCUCUCAUAUGGGAAAGCUUUUCCAGCUAUGCCCUCAUCUAACACUUGGACGCUUAACUAGCCAAUGCAUUUGUGCUGGAAAUUAAAUGUAAAAAUUCCUCUUGUGCCUGUACUGCUUUUUGUCUUGCCCAUUGUUGGUGGAGUCAAGGGUCACUCCAGUUUUCAGUGUAAAAAUAGGCAGGGUCUGAUGCUGGUAAUCUCCCUGAUCUCUUCAG